ACUCCUACGGGAGGCAGCAGUGGGGAAUAUUGCACAAUGGGCGCAAGCCUGAUGCAGCCAUGCCGCGUGUGUGAAGAAGGCCUUCGGGUUGUAAAGCACUUUCAGUCGUGAGGAAGGUGGUAGUGUUAAUAGCACUAUCAUUUGACGUUAGCGACAGAAGAAGCACCGGCUAACUCCGUGCCAGCAGCCGCGGUAAUACGGAGGGUGCGAGCGUUAAUCGGAAUUACUGGGCGUAAAGCGCAUGCAGGUGGUUUGUUAAGUCAGAUGUGAAAGCCCGGGGCUCAACCUCGGAAUAGCAUUUGAAACUGGCAAACUAGAGUACUGUAGAGGGGGUAGAAUUUCAGGUGUAGCGGUGAAAUGCGUAGAGAUCUGAAGGAAUACCGGUGGCGAAGGCGGCCCCCUGGACAGAUACUGACACUCAGAUGCGAAAGCGUGGGGAGCAAACAGGAUUAGAUACCCUGGUAGGACAGUG
rnacentral:rRNA from 1 species